rnacentral:rRNA from 1 species
AUCUAUAGCCGUACCACCGCGAAGCACCUGAUCUCAUUUGAUCUCGGAAACUAAGCAGAGUCAGGCAUGGUUAGUACUUGGAUGGGAGAAAUACUUGAUCUGUAUUUU